ACUAUAAUAGUUUAACUAAAACAAAGGUCUUGUAAACCUUAAAUGAAUUUCUUAUAGUU
rnacentral:tRNA from 2 species